rnacentral:lncRNA from 1 species
CUAAAAUCAGUCGUAAAAAAAGCGAAGCAACUACCUGCGGGUGAACAAGGUUUUCGCACACAGUGUGCACAGACGCGACGGGAUCGCGCAUGUGCAUUGGCUUGGAAGAAACCUUGUUGGCCGAGACUCCCGGUGGUUUCUGGACGGGUCUUGGCAGGCGUCUUGGCGGCAGGAAGGCAGGCGUCUUGGCGGCAGGAAGGCAGGCGUCUUGGCGGCAGGAAGGCAGGCGUCUUGGCGGCAGGAAGAGACACAGACCACAGCGGUGCGUGUGUCUUCACAGACUCCCCGUGGAAACUUUGGUCGUGCAGCGCAGACACCGGGGCACGCCAGAGAGGAACCGCCUCGACGUUUCUCUCACUGACCUCGAGUCAAAAAGAAAAUCUGGAACGCGAUCAACGACACGCAUCCAUUCGAUGGUUCAGCUGCCGCGGGCGUCGGGGGUUGCUUCGCGUAGAACGUCCUCUCUCCCCGGCCUGAACACCCAACUGCGUAUGUUGGCCCGAACACCGGCACCAUGGAACGCCUCGCUGCGGCCAGAGAACCACCCUCCAACACAUUCCCUCGGACGCGUUCCCACACGCGUUUUUUGUUCUUAUCAGACCUUCUCGAGCAGGCGGAUCCAAUCGCCAAAAAAGUCGUGAGGUUGUGUGGGGUCGUCAGGGUGUAGACUGUAGUUAGGAGCCGAAGGAACCAAGUGUGAAGCCUGUAUAGCUACGUGCGACGCCCGCCCGCAUAAGUGUGCGGGUACCAGCCUCUCUGAUAUGCGUUCCAACCAAACCUUCUCUGUGGCCGCGGGAACCGCCGUGUGCAAAAAAGGAAGGACGCCGAUUUUGCACAGGCCUCCCGUAGCGACGGGGCAGUCUUUCUCUGCAUGCGACGAGGGUAGCGGAGGCCCCUCCAACACGCGGCUCAGGCUAACUCUAAACGCGGC